GACAGAGGGUGCAAACGUUGCUCGGAAUCACUGGGCGUAAAGGGCGUGUAGGCGGGAAGAAAAGUCAGAUGUGAAAUCCCUGGGCUCAACCCAGGAACUGCAUUUGAAACUCUCUUUCUUGAGUACCGGAGAGGAAGGUGGAAUUCCUGGUGUAGAGGUGAAAUUCGUAGAUAUCAGGAGGAACACCAGUGGCGAAGGCGGCCUUCUGGACGGUAACUGACGCUGAGACGCGAAAGCGUGGGGAGCAAACAGG
rnacentral:rRNA from 1 species